rnacentral:sRNA from 1 species
UGACCAUGAGCUAUUCGAUGAAAUGGCCUGUUGCUUACUAGUACUCGUUAGUGGCUUCUUCUGCCUGCGUUAGCUUCUGGUUCCGAUCGAUUCCUCUCCAAGUUUUUAGGAAAGUUUGAUGCGUGAUUUAAUUAUUUUCAUCGGUAUGUUCUUCUUCCUGGAUUAGGAUAUGGAUUAUGGAGUAGAGCCGAUCGAUUGAUAGAUGGCAAACGUCAUUUACCAUAGGUGCGGUUGUUUCGGGUGCUUUUGGAAGUUGUUUUCGCUCGUCGUGUCAUUAGUGCUUUUCCUUGUCAGCAAAUUGCUAAAGGUGAUACCUCUGCUUUUCUUGAUUCCAUGGUGUAUUCCGUGACUUCUGGGUAGAUAAGCGUGCUUUUGGCGUGCAACCCUUCUCAUGUGAUUGAACCAACCAACAGUUAAAAGUUUUAAUAGGCAUGAUUCAUGUGUUUUGUCUUAUGAUGAGCACCUGGAAGUUGAAGAUUACAUAUUAAAGCAGCGGAUAUUUCAGAUCAAAAAGUUGCAAGUUGCAACUAGGCACAGUACUUUUCAGGGACCAGGAAAAUUCAAAAGCAUCUGAACC